GACGAACGCUGGCGGCGUGCCUAAUGAAUGCGAGUCGAACGAGGCCGGGUAAUUGAGUUGACCUUUCGGGGUCAUCUCGCCCUCCCGGCCUAGUGGCAAACGGGUGAGUAACACGUGGGUAACGUACCCCAAAGUCGGGGACAACAGUGGGAAACCGCUGCUAAUACCCGAUGUUCUGGGCCGCGCACAAGCGCGGUUCAGCAAAGGCUUCGGUUGCUUUGGGAUCGGCCCGCGGCCCAUUAGCUUGUUGGUGAGGUAACGGCUCACCAAGGCGACGAUGGGUAGCUGGUCUGAGAGGACGGUCAGCCACACUGGGACUGAGACAUGGUCCAGACUCCUACGGGAGUUAGCAUCCGGGAAUCUUGCUCAACGGGCGAAAGCCUGAAGCAGCGACGCCGCGUGGGUGAUGAAGGCCUGCGGGUCGUAAAGCCCUGUCAGGAGGGAAGAACGCCCGGCUUUGCUGGGUCUGACAGUACCUCCAAAGGAAGCCCCGGCUAACUACGUGCCAGCAGCCGCGGUAAUACGUAGGGGGCCAGCGUUGUCCGGAAUUACUGGGCGUAAAGCGCACGCAGGCGGUCUGGUAAGCGGAGGGUCCAAUCUCGGGGCUUAACCCCGAAGUCGCUCUCCGAACUGCCAGACUAGAGCACGGGAGAGGGCAGUGGAAUUCCCGGUGUAGCGGUGGAAUGCGUAAAUAUCGGGAGGAACACCAGUGGCGAAGGCUGCUGCCUGGAACGUUGCUGACGCUGAGGUGCGAAAGCCAGGGGAGCGAACGGGAUUAGAUACCCCGGUAGUCCUGGCCGUAAACGAUGCUCACUAGGUGUUGCCGGCAUCGACCCCGGCAGUGCUGUUCUGUUAACGCGUUAAGUGAGCCGCCUGGGGAGUACGGCCGCAAGGCUGAAACUCAAAGGAAUUGACGG
rnacentral:rRNA from 1 species